rnacentral:rRNA from 1 species
GACGAACGCUGGCGGCGUGCUUAACACAUGCAAGUCGAACGGAUUGCUUGGUGCUUGCACUGAGUGGUUAGUGGCGAACGGGUGAGUAACACGUGAGUAACCUGCCCCCUUCUUUGGGAUAAGCACCUGAAAGGGUGUCUAUAACGAUUUAUUUGGUUGGAUCCGCAGGGUUUUGGUUGGAAGGCUUUUUUGGUGGGGGGUGGGCUUGCGGCUUAUCAGCUUGUUGGGGGGGUAAUGGCUUACCAAGGCUUUGACGGGUAACCGGCCUGAGAGGGUGACCGGUCACAGUGGGACUGAGAUACGGCCCAGACUCCUACGGGAGGCAGCAGUGGGGAAUAUUGCACAAUGGACGAAAGUCUGAUGCAGCGACGCCGCGUGAGGGAUGAAGGCCUUCGGGUUGUAAACCUUUUUCGCUUUUGACCAAGGCAGCAUUUUGGUGUUGUUGAGGGUAUGAGGUAAAGAAGCUCCGGCUAACUACGUGCCAGCCGCCGCCGUAACAC